ensembl:ncRNA lncRNA:CR44070 long non-coding RNA:CR44070
GAAUAGAGAGUUGGGAAACGACAUAAACGACAUAUACGUGACAGAAUUGCAACACAAAAGGCGCCGGAACGGGCGAGCACUGACAGCCAACCGUCAAAAACUUCACAACUGCCAGUACAGUACAAUGGCUCGGAAAUCGGAUUAAUGCAGCUGCUGCUCAUGCUGCUCUUGCUGCUACUACCGACGCUCCUGGUGAAAAGCGGGGAAACCCAAUCCGCAAUCCAUAGAGCUGCUUCUCCGCUAAAUACAAUGAAAAACUUCCAACGAAAGACACACAUUCGCACGGACUCGCCUCUCGCAUGGCAGGGCCAAUAAACAAAAGGACAAAAGCGACGCGUCGCGCCGCCCCAGAGCCAAUCAAUCGCUAUGGCACCCUAGGGGCUCAGAACCCCAUCGAAAAGGGGUAUGAAAGGGGCUAGGGGGCGUAGGGAGCGAGGCGAUUGAACGCAAUCUGACACGCGACCAGUUCAAUGCACGUUGCCCCUCGCAUAGGUCAAAACCCAAAGGCAAGAGCAAAGUAAUAGAUUUUUUUGUACAAGAACGGAAAAAUGAAACACGUGAAGGAAAAACCAGUUCCGAAAUCCAUACUUUUGAAAUUUUGAACUUAAUUUGUUUUUU